UGGACCAAUGAUGACCACUGGUGGCGUAUGAGUUAUGCACAUGAAUACCAUGUUUCUAGAAUUCUGAGGUCCAA
ensembl:snoRNA SNORD114-13 small nucleolar RNA, C/D box 114-13